GAGCACGUAGGUGGGUUUGUAAGUCAGGUGUGAAAGCCUUCUGUUCAACGGAAGAAUUGCAUCUGAAACUGCGAGUCUUGAGUGUAGGAGGGGAGAAUGGAACUUCUGGUGGAGCGGUGAAAUGCGUAGAUAUCAGAAGGAACGCCGGCGGCGAAAGCGAUUCUCUGGCCUAUUACUGACACUCAGUGUGCGAAAGCUAGGGGAGCAAACGGGAUUAGAUACCCCGGUAGUCCUAGCCGUAAACGAUGGGCACUAAGUAGAGGGAAUUACCGAUGUUCUCUCUGCCGUAGCUAACGCAUUAAGUGCCCCGCCUGGGGAGUACGGCCGCAAGGCUAAAACUCAAAAGAAUUGACGGGGGCUCGCACAAGCGGUGGAGCAUGUGGCUUAAUUCGAUGCAACGCGAAAAACCUUACCGGGGCUUGACAUGGUAGAAGUAGGAACCCGAAAGGGUAACGAACGGUAUCCAGUCCGUAGCUAUCACAGGUGUUGCAUGGCUGUCGUCAGCUCGUGUCGUGAGACGUUGGGUUAAGUCCCCUAACGAGCGAAACCCUUGUUUUUAGUUACCAGCGGGUUAUGCCGGGUACUCUAGAAAGACUGCCGUCGUCAAGACGGAGGAAGGUGGGGAUGAUGUCAAGUCAUCAUGGCCCUUAUGCCCCGGGCUGCACACGUGCUACAAUGGUCGGUACAAACGGAAGCGAAGCCGAGAGGUGAAGCGAAUCC
rnacentral:rRNA from 1 species